rnacentral:rRNA from 1 species
ACGACGCUGGCGGCGUGCUUAACACAUGCAAGUCGAACGGUAAGGCCCUUCGGGGUACACGAGUGGCGAACGGGUGAGUAACACGUGGGUGAUCUGCCCUGCACUUCGGGAUAAGCCUGGGAAACUGGGUCUAAUACCGGAUAGGACCAUGGACUUCACGGUUUGUGGUGGAAAGCUUUUGCGGUGUGGGAUGGGCCCGCGGCCUAUCAGCUCGUUGGUGGGGUAAUGGCCUACCAAGGCGACGACGGGUAGCCGGCCUGAGAGGGUGUCCGGCCACACUGGGACUGAGAUACGGCCCAGACUCCUACGGGAGGCAGCAGUGGGGAAUAUUGCACAAUGGGCGCAAGCCUGAUGCAGCGACGCCGCGUGAGGGAUGACGGCCUUCGGGUUGUAAACCUCUUUCAAUAGGGACGAAGCGCAAGUGACGGUACCUAUAGAAGAAGCACCGGCCAACUACGUG